rnacentral:lncRNA from 1 species
GCUAUACAACGGAAAAUAGAAUAUUGAGGUAUUGACUAUUGUAUUUUGUUAUCAGUUUCAUCGUUGACAUCAUGGUCUAGCGGUAAACACCGAGGCCAUCAUGAGCGAAAGUUGUGGACCAUUCCCAGGUAAAAGUUUCGAAACGUUUCGUAUAAUUUUUUCUUUAUUUUUUUUGCCAUUAUUCUUCCCAAAAGUCUUCAAAUUACUCCUCAUAACUGUUUAAUACUAAUAUUUUGAUAAUAUUUUCUAUAUUUAGACAAUUUUGAGUCGAUUUAACUGAACAACGCAAUGAAGAGAAUUCUUAUGCAGGGUGAAAUCGAAAAACACUAUCUACAGUACAGCAAUAAGCACAAUAUUGAAAUGACGUAAUUUGUUACCUGCUUCCAUCGUUGACAUCUUGGUAUAUUGGUAAACACCGAGGCCAUCAUGGGCG